GGCAUGUGGUGAUAAGCUGAGGACAUCUUGGGCUCGCCACCUGAUCCUGGGAUCCUGCAUUUUCUAGCAAAGAACACUGGCAAGGAAACAGCCAAGUUAAUUUUCCAAAGGUUUAUUCCCCCAAAUCACACACCAUAGCCUGACCAAUGCUCCUAAAGAACUCCUGACAGAUGUCGGUUUUUAAUAAAGUGUAGCUGCCCCCUUUCCAAAAAUGGCUCAUUAUGGUUUUAGUAUACCCAAAUAUCACAGAAAGGAAGGCAAAAGGAAAAUACGAGAUAAAGUGAGGGAGGGAAGGAAACGCUGCCAAUCAAUAUUUACGAGAGAGACAGAGAUGGAGACACAGAGACAGACUACGCCGAUCAGUGAGCCAGCGUCAGCUAAGACUCUGGCAGAGGGGCUGGAAAGUCAGCUUCGGAGAGCUGUUGAUUGUUUUCUGGUUGAGAAGUGACGAUCAGGCCGGGAUGAAAAGUAAGCGCGGGCCGGCGCAGAGCCGGCAGCUGUAUGCUAAUGCUUGCAGAAACCAAGCCUCAGAGUCCCCCAUUAAAGCAGGCGACCAGGAGGCCACACAUCACUGAACAAAUAGGCUCUCUCUAGACAAAUAAAAUAACACACGUUGGCCAGUGGGGAGGGGGAGGGGAUAGGGGAAGAAGAGAAAGCGAGGGAGAGAAGGGAAGAGCUGGAGAGGAGACUGGGGGAGAGGAAGAGCGCCCAGCCAGGAGAGGCCGGCGACCCGGGAGGGAGAGGAGAGGGAGAAGGAGAGAGGAGGACGAGGCUGCUGGGGAGACAGCAGCCGGAGGAGCAGAGGGACGGAGGAGGAAAAGCAGCAGCACUUUCUAGAAAGUCUCUGCAGUCUCCGCUUGGAUUUCGACCUGCACUGGUCACAGCGAUCCCCGCGCAAGCCCCGACGGCAGCUGAGCAUCCGAGCACACGAGGGGCGCCCUCCAGUUCCUCAGCCGUCAGAGCAAGAACCGCAGCGGGGGCUGCAAGGGCCAGACAGAGGGCCCAGAUUGUCUCCAAAGCCCUGGCCUGUGACCUGCAGGGAAGGAGGGGCCGCCUAGGAGCUGGAGAGGGACACGUGGGUCCCUGCCGUGGAUUCCCCUACUCCUCGGUGCGGUGAAGCCCCUCAUUGGGGGCAAAUCAGCGCUCGGGGUCCCCCCAGCCAGACUCUUCUCGCCCCUACCCGGAGUUGCAGUGCGGAAAGCAGGCCGCGUGGGUGCAGAGUACUGGCACUCCGCUCUUCCAGGGGCGGACAGACUCCGAGACCCGCUGUCGCCCUCCCCGCGGGGCGCAAGGGCCGAGAAACCCAUGCAGAAGGCGGUGGACCUUCCCAGCCGGAGCCUCGAGCCGAGCAUGAAGGUCGCUGAGGUGUGGUGAGAGCAGCGGAGCUCCCUCUCCGCCCUGGGUCCUGAAAUGACUUCCCAGUUCUAAUACCUUUCGAGAGUUUCCAUUUAUUUUUACCGCACUCGUCUGAAAGCAGAGCUCAUUUCUGCUGGUGAGACUAGAACAAGAAACGGAUUCAUUGAAUCCCAGUACUAUCUCAACAGCGUUCGAUAGAUGUCCUUGGCUAUCCCGGUUAGAAUUCCCUCCCGCGGGGAUUUUGUUUUUAUUAUUUUGGUGAUGGAAGUGGUGGUGGUGGUGUGCUGGCCUCCCACCCCCAGCCUGCGUUACAAUUAGAGAAAAUGCUAUAUUUUACAGAUUAAUUAAGCGACUAACUCCCUUUAGUUGUUGAAGGAGAGGAUUACUAGGAAGACCAGAUACCAGCGAGUUAGUUGGGGACGAGAGGAGGGGCCCCCACUCUGUGCUAUUAUCCCACAACCCAGAUGGGGAUGCGUGAUUAGAAAAUAAAAUUGGCUGUCGCUGUCUCGGAAUCUCUUUCCCACUUCUAAUUUCAUCAGCGGUAUUAAUCAGCGCUCCAAAGGGCGAGGAAGUAACAUAGUGACUUUCAGACUGAACACAUUUAAUACAUUUAGACAGAUUCAUUUUAAAACUUCCCUUUUAAGGACUAGCAGUCAUCUCAGACUUUUAAAAAACAAGGACAGGACUUUUCAAAAUAUAUCCUAUUAUGUUUUUUCUCUUUCCAGUGUGCAGAGUUAAAAAAAAAAACACACACACACACACAUUGAAUCAUCGAACAUCUUUCUUUUUCGUGAAUCCCUUGCUUAACUAACCCUAACAACUCUCCCCAGCGCAAGUUAUUAUUCUGUUGGGGGGGGGCUUAACUUCCACGCCAGGGUAUUUUCAGAGGGAAACCCCAAAACAAUUAAAUACCUUCAGUGGAAUUGAGCAAAAGCAAAACUCAGCAAAACUCCAUCUGGAUGUGCACAGCUUUGCAGAAAAACGCGUUUCCUUCUUUCAAUAAAGUGACAUUUUGCUCGCAACACCUGACAUUUUAUGUGGGUUUAUUACUUGUUCCCCAGUGAUGGACGCUGGGUACCCCAAGAUUAUCUUUUGUGUUUCCCGGGUGGUGGGCAGCAGGGAGGUUGGGGGGGCUAGGUCUGAGUCCUCGCGGCUGGCGCCGGGGGCGGGGGUCCUUGCUGUUGUCUUUUCCUGGUGGCAAGGAGAAGGCUCGUCCCCUAGGCGGCCGUAGCCUGCCUCGGAGGACAGAUUGCCCCCCUCCCCCCGGCCUUCAGCACGCGUCUCUUUUGCGUCCAGAUUGGCCGCGACCGGCGCUCAAUAGCGGGAGGUUAAUUUCCUUCACAAAGGUGAAGGGGGCACGGCUCCUGGGGGCCCCCCGCGCCCAGACAGGCGGCCCCCUUUAUUCCGCAAGCCUUGAUUAGAGCCCUUGAUUUAGCAUCUGAUGUCAACCAGAAGACAAAAUGCCCGUUCGAAAUGAAAAUGCAUGAGCCGCGCCGCCGGGAGGGCGGAAGCUGGCUNNNNNNNNNNNNNNNNNNNNNNNNNNNNNNNNNNNNNNNNNNNNNNNNNNNNNNNNNNNNNNNNNNNNNNNNNNNNNNNNNNNNNNNNNNNNNNNNNNNNNNNNNNNNNNNNNNNNNUGCAAAAGAAAGACAGACAGAGAGAGAAAUAAAGUUUAGAAAAAUCUAAGUUCCUUUUAAAGCCCAGUGCAAGCAGCGCAGGGCCAAGCUAUCCUCGAACUCGGAGAGGUCACCGUCCUGGGUGCAGCGCAGACACUGCCGUCCACGGCUACCCGGUGCGCGUCCUGGGCCCCACGGGACAACGCACGACCCCGUCCUCCUUCUCUCCUCCUCCCGCCCCCCACCGGGGUGCACAAGUCCCCUCUACCCACCCACCCACAGGCUAAGGCUCGAGCCUUCCUAACACAUUUGAGGCCAUUCUCCUCCUUUGUUGCUAUUUCGCUAGCGACCCGCGGGGAGUCCCCGCCCGGGAGGGGGCGCGCAUUGUCGCUCUGAUGGACGGGCCCAUUUGGCCGCGCCGC
ensembl:lincRNA